AUAAUUUGGUUUCUCUUUCAGACCUAAUAAAUCUUUCGCUUUUUACUAAAGAUUUCCGUGGAGAGGAACGACCAUGAGUUACACUCAAUUUUUCAGGCCCAGUUUACACUGGCU
rnacentral:snRNA from 1 species